AAAACAAAAACCAAAAAAAAA
rnacentral:sRNA from 1 species